rnacentral:rRNA from 1 species
GAUGAACGCUGGCGGCGUGCCUAAUACAUGCAAGUCGAGCGAACGGACGAGAAGCUUGCUUCUCUGACGUUAGCGGCGGACGGGUGAGUAACACGUGGAUAAUCUACCUAUAAGACUGGGAUAACUUCGGGAAACCGUAGCUAAUACCGGAUAAUAUUUUGAACCGCAUGGUUUAAAAGUGAAAGACGGUCUUGCUGUCACUUAUCGAUGGAUCCGCGCUGCGUUAGCUAGUUGGUAAGGUAACGGCUUACCAAGGCAACGAUGCAUAGCCGACCUGAGAGGGUGAUCGGCCACACUGGAACUGAGACGCGGUCCAGACUCCUACGGGAAGGAGCAGAAGGGAAUCUUCCGCAGAGGGCGAGAGCCUGACGGAGCAACGCCGCGUGAGUGAUGAAGGUCUUCGGAUCGUAAAACUCUGUUAUUAGGGAAGAACAUAUGUGUAAGUAACUGUGCACAUCUUGACGGUACCUAAUCAGAAAGCCACGGCUAACUACGUG